UCUCCAGGAGAGUUAGCGGCGGACGGGUGAGUAACACGUAGGUAACCUGCCUGUAAGACUGGGAUAACUAGCGGAAACGUUAGCUAAUACCGGAUAAUUUAUUUUCUCGCAUGGGGAAGUAAUGAAAGACGGAGCAAUCUGUCACUUGCAGAUGGACCUGCGGCGCAUUAGCUAGUUGGUGGGGUAACGGCUCACCAAGGCGACGAUGCGUAGCCGACCUGAGAGGGUGAACGGCCACACUGGGACUGAGACACGGCCCAGACUCCUACGGGAGGCAGCAGUAGGGAAUCUUCCGCAAUGGACGAAAGUCUGACGGAGCAACGCCGCGUGAGUGAUGAAGGUUUUCGGAUCGUAAAGCUCUGUUGCCAGGGAAGAACGUUCGGUAGAGUAACUGCUACCGGAGUGACGGUACCUGAGAAGAAAGCCCCGGCUAACUACGUGCCAGCAGCCGCGGUAAUACGUAGGGGGCAAGCGUUGUCCGGAAUUAUUGGGCGUAAAGCGCGCGCAGGCGGCUAUUUAAGUCUGAUGUUUAAUCCUGAGGCUCAACCUUAGGUCGCAUUGGAAACUGGGUAGCUUGAGUGCAGAAGAGGAGAGUGGAAUUCCACGUGUAGCGGUGAAAUGCGUAGAGCAUGUGGAGGAACACCAGUGGCGAAGGCGACUCUCUGGGCUGUAACUGACGCUGAGGCGCGAAAGCGUGGGGAGCAAACAGGAUUAGAUACCCUGCUAGUCCACGCCGUAAACGAUGAAUGCUAGGUGUUAGGGGUUUCGAUACCCUUGGUGCCGAAGUUAACACAUUAAGCAUUCCGCCUGGGGAGUACGGCCGCAAGACUGAAACUCAAAGGAAUUGACGGGGACCCCGCACAAGCAGUGGAGUAUGUGGUU
rnacentral:rRNA from 1 species